rnacentral:rRNA from 1 species
GUUGUAGUCUGGAGAAGCGUCUUCCGCGCUGGACCGUGUAUAAGUCUCUUGGAACAGAGCGUCAUAGAGGGUGAGAAUCCCGUCUUUGACACGGACUACCAGUGCUUUGUGAUGCGCUCUCAAAGAGUCGAGUUGUUUGGGAAUGCAGCUCAAAAUGGGUGGUGAAUUCCAUCUAAAGCUAAAUAUUGGCGAGAGACCGAUAGCGAACAAGUACCGUGAGGGAAAGAUGAAAAGCACUUUGGAAAGAGAGUUAAACAGUACGUGAAAUUGCUGAAAGGGAAACGCUUGAAGUCAGUCGCGUUGUCCGGGACUCAGCCUUGCUUCGGCUUGGUGCACUUUCCGGAUGACGGGCCAGCAUCGAUUUUGACCGCCGGAAAAGGGCUGGAGGAAUGUGGCACCUUCGGGUGUGUUAUAGCCUCCAGUCGCAUACGGCGGUUGGGAUCGAGGAACGCAGCACGCCUUAUGGCGGGGGGUUUACCCUACCUUCGUGCUUAGGAUGCUGGCAUAAUGGCUUUAAACGACCCGUCUUGAAACACGGACCAAGGAGUCUAACAUGCCUGCGAGUGUUUGGGUGGAAAACCCGAGCGCGUAAUGAAAGUGAAAGUUGAGACCUCUGUCGUGGAGGGCAUCGACGCCCGGACCUGACGUUCUCUGACGGAUCCGCGGUAGAGC